rnacentral:lncRNA from 1 species
CCUACUUGCACCCCAAAAUAUCCCGCUGCAGGUUCAUGUAUUUUUCCUCCAAAAUGGCGGGGUCGGGACCUAGAAAAACCUCAUGAAAGUCUUGGAAAGUUGCACCAUUUUAGGCAGCCUGCAUUCUGCCCAUUCCAUCCUAUUGUAGCGUGCGGUUCACGCUAUUUUACGGCCGCUACCGGGAUGGAUCGAACGCGACCGCGUGGGGCGUAAGUCCAUGCUUCUGACAUAGUAGACUGAAAGGAGUUAAAAGUAAAUGUGAUCGACUAAGAGGAUUCCUUGCACAGGAGGGAAUGUCUUUGUGAAAGGCCUGAUAAUGGAGAUAUAGUACCUGUAGGCUAUGUUACAAGGAGGUCUAAUGGUCAGGAUGUUCAUACAAAUACCCAAUUCAUUGGAUCUUCAAAUUUGAAUAAUUAUACACAAGAAAUUUAAAUAUAUCAAUAUUAUAUAGGAUAUGUAUGAUGGAGCAGUCUUGAGCAUAAGAAGUGGCAUUAGUAAUAGAGAAUUUCGUUACACCGAGGCUGGCAUCAAUCCUCUGCCUUAAGAUCUUUGAGCUUAUGAGACAUCCAAAAUGAGGUUCCUUGACAAAUUGUAGUCACGAAUGACAGUGUUUUGAUAGAUGAGAAUCGGAUGUCAUCAAAUCAUAAUUUAAGACCUUGAAGGAGUACUUUGGAAUUUAGAGGUUCUCAAUUAAGGAGGCUGAGAUGGAGCACAUGGAAGCCCUUCUGCUGAUUGUAGGAAUAUGGAUAAUAGUGGAGUCAGUGCAAAGGAUCAUAUUGUCCCAAAAGGUGGUUGCUUUAUGUAUUUGCGUUUCAUUUAGUAACAAGAAAUGAGGAGUUGAAGAGGGUGGAAGAUCUCUCUAUAAGGUUAAAAAAUCAGUUUUAUGUAUCAGUUAUUAGUCUUGCCAUUUUUUUUAUGAUAUUGACUGUUGGGGUUCUUAAAAUGCAAAAUAUCCAUAAGUUAGAUAAUUGUGUUACAACACUCGAAUGGAUAAUAUAAGAAAUGUGAAUAUGCACUGAUAAGUGGAGGUGGCCUCAAUUGAACAUAAAGAUGAUUUUGACAGUUUGUUCAUGCUGUGUGUAGUUAAGAAACGUUCAAUUGUGAGAGUCCUCUGAUCUUGGUAGACCUAGUGAGAAGUGGG